UACGGAGGAUGCAAGCGUUAUCCGGAAUUAUUGGGCGUAAAGCGUCCGCAGGUGGCACUUCAAGUCUGUCGUCAAAGACCGGGGCUUAACCCUGGAAAGGCGAUGGAAACUGAAAGGCUAGAGAGAGGUAGGGGUAGAGGGAAUUCCCAGUGUAGCGGUGAAAUGCGCAGAUAUCGGGAGGAACACCAGUAGCGAAGGCGGCUCGCUGGGCCAUUCCUGACGCUGAGACGCGAAAGCUAGGGGAGCGAACAGG
rnacentral:rRNA from 1 species